UGGCGGACGGGUGAGUAACACGUGGGUAACCUGCCCGGAAGUGGGGGAAUACCUCGGGGAAACUCGAGCUAAUACCGCAUAACUUCUUCGGGACGAAAGUCCUGACGAUCAAAGCGGGGUCGCAAGAUCUCGCGCUACCGGAUGGGCCCGCGCCCGAUUAGCUAGUUGGUGAGGUAACGGCUCACCAAGGCUUCGAUCGGUAACCGGCCUGAGAGGGCGAUCGGUCACACCGGAACUGAGACACGGUCCGG
rnacentral:rRNA from 1 species